rnacentral:rRNA from 1 species
GGUUAAGCGACUAAGCGUACACGGUGGAUGCCCUGGCAGUCAGAGGCGAUGAAGGACGUGCUAAUCUGCGAUAAGCGUCGGUAAGGUGAUAUGAACCGUUAUAACCGGCGAUUUCCGAAUGGGGAAACCCAGUGUGAUUCGUCACACUAUCAUUAACUGAAUCCAUAGGUUAAUGAGGCGAACCGGGGGAACUGAAACAUCUAAGUACCCCGAGGAAAAGAAAUCAACCGAGAUUCCCCCAGUAGCGGCGAGCGAACGGGGAGGAGCCCAGAGCCUGAAUCAGUGUGUGUGUUAGUGGAAGCGUCUGGAAAGGCGCGCGAUACAGGGUGACAGCCCCGUACACAAAAAUGCACAUAUUGUGAGCUCGAUGAGUAGGGCGGGACACGUGGUAUCCUGUCUGAAUAUGGGGGGACCAUCCUCCAAGGCUAAAUACUCCUGACUGACCGAUAGUGAACCAGUACCGUGAGGGAAAGGCGAAAAGAACCCCGGCGAGGGGAGUGAAAAAGAACCUGAAACCGUGUACGUACAAGCAGUGGGAGCACGCUUAGGCGUGUGACUGCGUACCUUUUGUAUAAUGGGUCAGCGACUUAUAUUCUGUAGCAAGGUUAACCGAAUAGGGGAGCCGAAGGGAAACCGAGUCUUAACUGGGCGUUAAGUUGCAGGGUAUAGACCCGAAACCCGGUGAUCUAGCCAUGGGCAGGUUGAAGGUUGGGUAACACUAACUGGAGGACCGAACCGACUAAUGUUGAAAAAUUAGCGGAUGACUUGUGGCUGGGGGUGAAAGGCCAAUCAAACCGGGAGAUAGCUGGUUCUCCCCGAAAGCUAUUUAGGUAGCGCCUCGUGAAUUCAUCUCCGGGGGUAGAGCACUGUUUCGGCAAGGGGGUCAUCCCGACUUACCAACCCGAUGCAAACUGCGAAUACCGGAGAAUGUUAUCACGGGAGACACACGGCGGGUGCUAACGUCCGUCGUGAAGAGGGAAACAACCCAGACCGCCAGCUAAGGUCCCAAAGUCAUGGUUAAGUGGGAAACGAUGUGGGAAGGCCCAGACAGCCAGGAUGUUGGCUUAGAAGCAGCCAUCAUUUAAAGAAAGCGUAAUAGCUCACUGGUCGAGUCGGCCUGCGCGGAAGAUGUAACGGGGCUAAACCAUGCACCGAAGCUGCGGCAGCGACGCUUAUGCGUUGUUGGGUAGGGGAGCGUUCUGUAAGCCUGCGAAGGUGUGCUGUGAGGCAUGCUGGAGGUAUCAGAAGUGCGAAUGCUGACAUAAGUAACGAUAAAGCGGGUGAAAAGCCCGCUCGCCGGAAGACCAAGGGUUCCUGUCCAACGUUAAUCGGGGCAGGGUGAGUCGACCCCUAAGGCGAGGCCGAAAGGCGUAGUCGAUGGGAAACAGGUUAAUAUUCCUGUACUUGGUGUUACUGCGAAGGGGGGACGGAGAAGGCUAUGUUGGCCGGGCGACGGUUGUCCCGGUUUAAGCGUGUAGGCUGGUUUUCCAGGCAAAUCCGGAAAAUCAAGGCUGAGGCGUGAUGACGAGGCACUACGGUGCUGAAGCAACAAAUGCCCUGCUUCCAGGAAAAGCCUCUAAGCAUCAGGUAACAUCAAAUCGUACCCCAAACCGACACAGGUGGUCAGGUAGAGAAUACCAAGGCGCUUGAGAGAACUCGGGUGAAGGAACUAGGCAAAAUGGUGCCGUAACUUCGGGAGAAGGCACGCUGAUAUGUAGGUGAAGUCCCUCGCGGAUGGAGCUGAAAUCAGUCGAAGAUACCAGCUGGCUGCAACUGUUUAUUAAAAACACAGCACUGUGCAAACACGAAAGUGGACGUAUACGGUGUGACGCCUGCCCGGUGCCGGAAGGUUAAUUGAUGGGGUUAGCGCAAGCGAAGCUCUUGAUCGAAGCCCCGGUAAACGGCGGCCGUAACUAUAACGGUCCUAAGGUAGCGAAAUUCCUUGUCGGGUAAGUUCCGACCUGCACGAAUGGCGUAAUGAUGGCCAGGCUGUCUCCACCCGAGACUCAGUGAAAUUGAACUCGCUGUGAAGAUGCAGUGUACCCGCGGCAAGACGGAAAGACCCCGUGAACCUUUACUAUAGCUUGACACUGAACAUUGAGCCUUGAUGUGUAGGAUAGGUGGGAGGCUUUGAAGUGUGGACGCCAGUCUGCAUGGAGCCGACCUUGAAAUACCACCCUUUAAUGUUUGAUGUUCUAACGUUGACCCGUAAUCCGGGUUGCGGACAGUGUCUGGUGGGUAGUUUGACUGGGGCGGUCUCCUCCUAAAGAGUAACGGAGGAGCACGAAGGUUGGCUAAUCCUGGUCGGACAUCAGGAGGUUAGUGCAAUGGCAUAAGCCAGCUUGACUGCGAGCGUGACGGCGCGAGCAGGUGCGAAAGCAGGUCAUAGUGAUCCGGUGGUUCUGAAUGGAAGGGCCAUCGCUCAACGGAUAAAAGGUACUCCGGGGAUAACAGGCUGAUACCGCCCAAGAGUUCAUAUCGACGGCGGUGUUUGGCACCUCGAUGUCGGCUCAUCACAUCCUGGGGCUGAAGUAGGUCCCAAGGGUAUGGCUGUUCGCCAUUUAAAGUGGUACGCGAGCUGGGUUUAGAACGUCGUGAGACAGUUCGGUCCCUAUCUGCCGUGGGCGCUGGAGAACUGAGGGGGGCUGCUCCUAGUACGAGAGGACCGGAGUGGACGCAUCACUGGUGUUCGGGUUGUCAUGCCAAUGGCACUGCCCGGUAGCUAAAUGCGGAAGAGAUAAGUGCUGAAAGCAUCUAAGCACGAAACUUGCCCCGAGAUGAGUUCUCCCUGACUCCUUGAGAGUCCUGAAGGAACGUUGAAGACGACGACGUUGAUAGGCCGGGUGUGUAAGCGCAGCGAUGCGUUGAGCUAACCGGUACUAAUGAACCGUGAGGCUUAACCUU